UCCAAGCAUCAGGAGUGGCCUUGCGAAAGCGGGGUCCGGCAACCUGGUUUGGAGAAGCCAAGGUGCCUUGGAUGCUGUGACAGAAUUCUGUUACGGUGACCGAUGUGCGAAUGUUUACAUUCGAACAGAAUUUCUCUCG
rnacentral:ncRNA from 10 species